rnacentral:lncRNA from 1 species
UGAUUAUAGCCAACUGAACAAACUUAGGACUUUUGACCACAUUCUAGAUAUCUCCUUCUGGGAGUUCCCGCCAUGGUGCAGCAGCAAGAUUCCCUGGGUCCUGGGCGUAUAAACACCUCCUGAACAGCCACAGCCGGCCUCCCAAGAUGAUUCCAGGAAACACAACGCUGACUCUUCAAGAAAAGAAAUUCCUUGCCAAGGUAUGCCAGCCCAUUGCAGAGGGGGUGAAGUUUGUUUGAAUAAAGCCCAGUUUCUCCUGGGUUUCCACCAUCUGUCUGUACCCCAGGAACUCCGCCUCCGUGGACACCUGGAUGUUUUGGACGUGGGGGCCACAUCUGUGGCAAUGCCAACAAUGCCAGAUCCGAGUCCUCGUUGACCUCUACAGGCAUUCCAGCAGCCCCAGGGAGCAAGGGCUUCAGCAGGAUGGUUUGCUGGGGGAGAAUGGAGACAAGCAACACCAACAGGCAUGUGGGUAGACAGAUGGAUAUGGGGGUGAACGUGGAUGUGUGCGUGGUGUAGAUAUGGGCAUG